GCAAGACAGGAUGCGCGGUCGGGGGAUGCCUCGGCACGUGGUGCCGAAGAAGGACGCGGGCCAGCAGCGAAAGGGCAGGGGAGGCGCAACCAGCCGAUGAGCCUGCCGUCUCCGAAUGGGGCAACCCGCCGGUCGCAGGACCGGCACACCCGGACGGUCGUUCGGGUGGGGGAACCCGGCGAACUGAAACAUCUUAGUAGCCGGAGGAAGCGGAACACCGCCCGGAGUAGUGGCGAGCGAAACGGGCCGCUGCCCAAACCGCUGGCGUGCCAAGGGGGCAGCCGUUGCGCCAGCGGGGUUGUGAGACUGCGCGAGGCGCCUGCCUGCGCCUCAGCCGUGCGCGCGCGCGACCAGAAGCGUCUGGGAUGACGCGCCAGAGAGGGUGAGAGCCCCGUAUGGGCAGCCCGCGCGCGCGGUGCGCAGCAUCUCGAGUACCACGGGACACGAGCAAUCCCGUGGGAAGCUGGGGGGACCACCCUCCAAGGCAACCUACACCACGUGACCGAUAGCGCACAGUACCGUGAGGGAACGGUGAAAAGCACCCCGGCGAGGGGAGUGAAAGAGAGCCUGAAACCGACCGCGUCCAGGCAGUCAGAGCCGCAGGCGGGGCGCAUGCCGCGCGCGGUGAUGGCGUGCCUUUUGGAGUAUGACCCGACGAGUGGCUGGACGUCGCCGCCUAAGCCAGCGACAGGCGGAGGCCGAGCGAACGCGAGUGUGACAAGCGCGCGAUGGUGGCGGUCAGCCGACCCGAAACCGUGUGAGCUACCCAUGGCCAGGCUGCAGCGCCCGUAACAGGGCGUGAAGGGCCGCACCGGUGUCUGUUGCAAAAGGCUCGGAGGAGCUGUGGGUAGGGGUGAAAUGCCAAACGAACACGGAGAUAGCUGGUUCUCCCCGAAAUGCAUUGAGGUGCAGCCGGCCACUGACGGAUGGCGGGGGUAGAGCACUGUUGCGACGCGGGGGCUUCACCGCCUACCAACUCGCGGCAAACUGCGAAUACCGCCACCCGCGUGGACCGCGUGAGACGGCGCGUGCCAACAUGCGCUGUCGAGAGGGCAACAACCCAGACCCGCCGCUAAGGUCCCCAAGUGGGCGCUCAGUCGCAAAGGAAGUGGCGCUGCUCAGACAACCAGGAGGUUGGCUUAGAAGCAGCCAUCCUUGAAAGAGUGCGUAAUAGCUCACUGGUCGAGGAGCGCCGCGCCGACAAUGGACGGGGAUAAGCGCCCCACCGAAGCGCGGGACCGGCCCGCACGGGCCGGUGGUAGGGGAGCGUCGUGCGCUGGGCGAAGGUCGAGCGCAAGCCCGGCUGGACGGCGCACGAGUGCGAAUGUCGGGAUGAGUAACGCAGGUGGGGUGCGAACCCCCACCGCCGGAAGCCCAAGGGUUCCGCUGCACGGGCACUCCGCAGCGGGUGAGUCGGGCCUAAGCCGAGGCCGCAAGGCGUAGGCGAUGGACAGCUGGUGGAGAUUCCAGCACCGGUUGGGCGCGCUGAAGCGCCGCGAUCCUGGGCGGCAGGGUGCGCGACCAGACGAGGGUCGUUCAAGCUGGUAGGCCGCAAGGCCGAGAAGCGAGCACGAGCGGGCGCCGUGCGGCGCGCCGCAAGGCACCCGGGCCUGAACAGGCACGAAAGGCGUGGCGGGGAGCGGCCAACCGCCCGUACCGCAAACCGACACAGGUGGGCUGGCUGAGGAAGCCAAGGCGGACGAGCGAACCCUGGUCAAGGAACUCGGCAAAAUGAUCCCGUACCUUCGGAAGAAGGGAUGCUCGCUGGCGUGAGGCCCCUGGCGGGCGGAGCGCGGGCGAGCCGCAGAGCCCAGGCCCAUGCGACUGGUUACCAAAACCUUAGGUCCCUGCUAAGCCGGAAGGCGACGUAUAGGGGCUGAUGCCUGCCCAGUGCCGGAAGGUUAAGGGGAGGCGUGCAAGCGCUGAACCGAAGCCCCGGUAAACGGCGGCCGUAACUAUAACGGUCCUAAGGUAGCGAAAUUCCUUGUCGGGUAAGUUCCGACCCGCACGAAAGGCAUAACGACAUGGGCACUGUCUCGACCGGGGGCUCGGUGAAAUUGAAGUGGCGGUGAAGAUGCCGCCGACCCACACCAGGACAAAAAGACCCCGUGGAGCUUUACUCUAGCUUGCCACUGUGGAUGCGACGCGGCUGCGUAGGAUAGGUGGGAGCCUGCGAAGCCGCCCUUGCGGGGGCGGUGGAGGCGCCGGUGAAAUACCACUCUGCCGCGUGGCGUCCACUCACCGGUUGGGACGACAACCGGGACCGUGGCUGGUGGGGAGUUUGACUGGGGCGGUCGCCUCCCAAAAGGUAACGGAGGCGCCCAACGGUUCCCUCAGGGUGGAUGGCAAUCACCCGUGGCGUGCAAGGGCACAAGGGAGCUUGACUGCAAGGGAGACCACCCGCGCAGGGACGAAAGUCGGGCCUAGUGAUCCUACGGUACCGCGUGGAAGGGCCGUAGCGUACCGGAUAAAAGCUACCCCGGGGAUAACAGGCUGAUCCUGCCCAAGAGUUCAGAUCGACGGCAGGGUUUGGCACCUCGAUGUCGGCUCGUCGCAUCCUGGGGCUGGAGCCGGUCCCAAGGGUUGGGCUGUUCGCCCAUGAAAGCGGCACGCGAGCUGGGUUCAGAACGUCGUGAGACAGUUCGGUCUCUAUCCGGUGUGGGCGCGUAGGUGCGUGCGUGGGGCUGCCCCUAGUACGAGAGGACCGGGGUGGACGACCCGCUGGUGGAGCAGUUGUCGGGCGACCGGCAGGCUGCGUAGCUACGGUCGGAAGGGCGAAGCGCUGAAUGCAUCUAAGUGCGAACCCCGCCACAAGACGACGCACCUCACCGUCAAGGACGGGUAAGGGCCCGGCGAGAUGAGCCGGCAGACCGACGCGCGGUGGAGGCCGGGUGACCGGUAGAGCCGACGCGCACGGACGCCCGAGCGGCUUGCCUG
rnacentral:rRNA from 1 species